UUGGUCGGCAGCGGCGGUGACGGCGCUCGCUCGGUUCSGUGUGGCGGGGCCGCCGCUGUCCCGGCGGGCGGGAGGGAGCUCUGGCCCGGCCCGUGUCCGGACGGGUGUUUCGGGGAACGCCGGCGUUAUCCCGGCGCAAUGAGCAGCGGCCUCGAGGCGCGGCCCGGCCGCUUUCCUGGAGACCUCUUUCGUCUCUCUUGUGAUCUGCUGUACGGCUUGGCCACGAUCCAUAUGAUGGAGCAACAUAGCCAAGCUGUGGGUUGACUGAGGCUUGCAUCACCGCCCUGACCCAGAUUGCAUCUGCAGUCAUCUGGAAUUGACUACACGCCUGAACUGAUAAAAGAGGCUGUGGAAAUAUGGAUCUCUGGGGCCUUGGCAAGAUACUUCUGCCACAUCCACCUGUGCUCUGGAAGACAAAAACRUAAGGAUCAGCAAUGUGUCAUUUAUUCUGCAACAACGAACAGUUGAGAACUGCCUUGACAGCCAAUAGAAGAAAACAGGGUGAUGUGACUACAGCAAGCACAUGUUCUUUCUAAUAAUUUACAAUAGCACUAUGAUCCCAACGAGGAAUGGCACUCGAACCUCCCUCUGAUUACYGCUGUUCUUUUCUUUUGCUGUAACAAUAUAGUUUCUUUCUAACACACAAGUGUUUAUGCAAAAAUGCCAAGAUUCUCUAUGUAGAUUAAAAUAGGCUUACAAAUUAAGGAAAGGCUGGUAUGGAACAAGAGGAAAAUUAUCCCAGCAUUUUGCUCUUAUUUUUAAUCCAAGUCCUGUCUUUGGAGAGCGUUAUGUCGACUACACACUUGGUGAGGCCUAUGAGGAUUUUCCUUGUGUAAUGACUGCAGGAGAUAGCSCUAGCAUAUCACAACAUACUCUAAAAAAAGCAAAAAGCAAAAAAAAAAAGGUGAACUAAUUCACCAUGAGGAUGGAAGGAUGGAUGUUUCUUGUUGUGAAACAGAACAAAAUCCUAUGAUAUGUUUCUCCUAUUAGGUCUGAURCAACUACUAUAUGAUAAACAUUCAUUUCUAAAAAUCCACUGUAAAGCUAUAGGUCAGCCAGUGGCUUGACUCAUUUUUCGUUGCAGAGUGUAUGAUAGUCAUGCCUUUAAUUGACAUCACUGCAGCCAGUGUGUUGUUGAGUCCAAUGAAAUUUGAAUCCCACUAUAAAUGUAAUUGUUUUCCACAAGUAGAUUAUGAACAGAAGCCUUUGAUUUCUAUUAAUUAUGUAUUUUUGAGUGAAAAGCUAUUUUGUCUAUAUAUAUUUAAUAACAGAAAAUGUAGCAAACAUUUCUUUUUAUUGAACUAAUAAAAGUGA